GUGUUUUUAGGAGGUUUUUGGGGGUAUGUUUAGAGUCUUGUUUAUGUUUGUUUGGUACCUCAUCUAAGUCCACCUGUGUAGGUUCGGACCCGAGGAACCGAAACCCCCGGCAGUGAGAUAGCUGCCUUUGAGUUGUUAAAGCUUCAGUCAUCAGGUGAGUGGAACAACCCCUUAAGUUUUAAAGUAAAGUAAAUGAAUAAAUGAAUGAAUCAUAAAGCAUUGCCCAUGCAUCACUAAUGCCAUGCAAUAUUUCAGGAUGUUUGCAUUAGAAUUCACGAAUAUGCUGCAUUGCAUAAAUUGAUGUUGAUGUGGAUGGUUGAUUGGAUGAUCCAUAGUCCUCGAUAUGUUAUGAUGAGAUAUGGCAUGUUAUAUAUGAAAGUCCAGGUUGUACCCAUUCUACGUCCCUGGCACAAAGAAAGAGAAAGACCGGUUGACCCAUUCUACGUCCCGGCAUAUUGGAAUGUUAUGUUAUGAUGCGUUAUGUAAGAGAAAGACCGGUUGACCCAUUCUACGUCCCGGCACUUUGGAAAGGAAGAGGACUAAUGGUGACAAUACCAUCCUUUAUGUGAUUAGCUGUGAUGUGUUGCAUUUCAUGAAAGCAUGAAAAAAAAAAGAAAAAAGUUAAAUAAUAUGUUGAAAUAAAAUAAAAUAAAUAAUAAAUAAUGAAUAAAAAUAAUAAUAAUAAAGGAAAUAAUAAAAUCAAUGUUUUUAGUUUCUGCUCAUUGGGCUUUAUAGCUCACCCCCUCUCCCCUAACCCCAGUCUUGCAGGUGCAGAGUAGAUAGAGAAGUCAGCAGAGUAAGAGAAGUUUAUGUAAUAGCUUAGCUAUGGACAUGGUUUGUUUGUAAUGUAAAAGUAUGAUAUGUAAUGUAAUGAAAGUUUAAUAGUGUGCUUGACUAGAGUCUGUUGUAUUCCCUGUACACAUGGUCUUGUAUGAGAUAUAAUGUUUUUAUGAUGCCUAUGUAACCCAAGCCUAUGUUAUGUUAUGUUACCCCAUUGGAGUAUUUGAUGAGGACUCCAAUGAGAGGUUUAUGUUAUGUUUGUGCAUGCACAGGCUAGGCUUGGCAAAGAAAUGUUUGAAUGAAAAAAAAGUUUUAAAUUUUUAUGUAUGUUGUUGACCAUGUAUGGGAUUAAACAGGUUCACAGGAUGUAUGUUUGGCUUGCUACGGGUUC
rnacentral:lncRNA from 1 species